rnacentral:lncRNA from 1 species
UUUUCCGAGGCAAUCUGGCUGGCUUAACUCUCCGUUCCGGGAAACUCGCGGAUAAGAAGGUGAUCGACUGUCUGUAUACCUGCAAGGAGGGGCUGGACCUGCAGGUCCUCGAAGACAGUGGCAGAGGCGUGCAAUCCAAGCACACCCCAGCCAGUUGGUAUUGACCUUGGAGGGAGAAGACCUCGGGGAAUUGGAUAAGGCCAUGCAGCACAUCUCGUACCUGAACUCCCGGCAGUUCCCCACGCCCGGAAUUCGCAGACUCAAAAUCACCAGCACAAUCAGUGUUUUAACGAGGCCACCUGCAUUUCGGUCCCCCCGGUAGAUGGCUACGUGAUGGUUUUACAGCCCGAGGAGCCCAAGAUCAGCCUGAGUGGCGUCCACCAUUUUGCCCGAGCAGCUUCUGAAUUUGAAAGCUCAGAAGGGGUGUUCCUUUUCCCUGAGCUUCGCAUCAUCAGCACCAUCACGAGAGAAGUGGAGCCUGAAGGGGACGGGGCUGAGGACCCCACAUUCAAGAAUCACUGGUGUCCGAGGAGAUCGUGCACGACCUGGAUACCUGUGAGGUCACGGUGGAGGGAGA